AUGAGAAUCUUGAUGAUGCUGCAUCGGAAAUCAAUUGACCACUUUAAAAAUCAACGCAUCAAAUACGAUUUUGUUGGAUCUCAUACAAACAAAGGUCAUUCAUCCUAGGAUCAUGGAUAUUUGAUCAUGUGGACAGAAUAUAACGAUGUGGAGUUUGUCUGUGGUGUCACAAACAUAACAGCACCAUGUAUCCAAUUACAAGAUCUGCUAAAAGAAUGUUUAUGCAACAGUAUAUCUUAUCAGGGUGUGUCUUAAUAAAGUUUUCUUUGAGUAUUUGUUAACAUGUAUGAGUCAAUAUAUAUACUGCUUUCUGUUUUCUUAAGUUAUAAGAUAUUCUGUACGGAUCAAUGUAAUCUCUUCCUUAAACACAAGAACUACAUCUAGCAUGGAUCAACAACUCGCCAAUCUUUGGUAAGUGUUAUUUAUAUCUUGGAAUCUUGUUUUUUCU
rnacentral:lncRNA from 1 species